GAAAGGCUGUUGUGGGCAGCAACACAGCUGGACAUUCCUUUGCUUACUGAUGGGAGAUUCAUAAGGAUACUUGCUCUUGGAGCCCACCUGCCCUGCUGGGAGGUGCUGGGAACACCUGGAGAGCCAUGUGCAGCUGUGUGGCCAGCAAUCCCAGCUUUGUUCCCAGCCAGCUGCCAGACCUGGGAGUGAGGAAGCCUUCCAGAAGACCCCAGCCUAGUCCCCAUCUGACAGCGACCUCAUGAGAUAUCCUGAGUGAGAUCUACCCAGCCGAGCCCAAUAAACCCAUGAAAACAUCA
ensembl:lncRNA novel transcript